rnacentral:rRNA from 2 species
UGUUUCGGCUAGGGGGCCAUCCCGGCUUACCAACCCGAUGCAAACUGCGAAUACCGGAGAAUGUUAUCACGGGAGACACACGGCGGGUGCUAACGUCCGUCGUGAAGAGGGAAACAACCCAGACCGCCAGCUAAGGUCCCAAAGUCAUGGUUAAGUGGGAAACGAUGUGGGAAGGCCCAGACAGCCAGGAUGUUGGCUUAGAAGCAGCCAUCAUUUAAAGAAAGCGUAAUAGCUCACUGGUCGAGUCGGCCUGCGCGGAAGAUGUAACGGGGCUAAACCAUGCACCGAAGCUGCGGCAGCGACACUUUAGUGUUGUUGGGUAGGGGAGCGUUCUGUAAGCCGUUGAAGGUGUCCUGUGAGGGGUGCUGGAGGUAUCAGAAGUGCGAAUGCUGACAUAAGUAACGAUAAAGCGGGUGAAAAGCCCGCUCGCCGGAAGACCAAGGGUUCCUGUCCAACGUUAAUCGGGGCAGGGUGAGUCGACCCCUAAGGCGAGGCCGAAAGGCGUAGUCGAUGGGAAACGGGUUAAUAUUCCCGUACUUGGUGUUACUGCGAAGGGGGGACGGAGAAGGCUAUGUUGGCCGGGCGACGGUAGUCCCGGUUUAAGCGUGUAGGCUGGUUUUCCAGGCAAAUCCGGAAAAUCAAGGCUGAGGCGUGAUGACGAGGCACCACGGUGCUGAAGCAACAAAUGCCCUGCUUCCAGGAAAAGCCUCUAAGCAUCAGGUAACAUCAAAUCGUACCCCAAACCGACACAGGUGGUCAGGUAGAGAAUACCAAGGCGCUUGAGAGAACUCGGGUGAAGGAACUAGGCAAAAUGGUGCCGUAACUUCGGGAGAAGGCACGCUGACAC